ACCCACGAUACUUUGGUUUCCUUCAGAAAAGAGCAGGCUGCCCAGGAAUAGCCACUGAACAUGGCAUAACAGGACAUAAUAAGACUAAUCAUAAACUUUCAUAUCCAAGCUGGACUAGGUAACUGAGGAGGAGGCAGUUACAGAAAGCCAACAGCACAGACCCAUGCAGGCUCCAUGACUGCAGCUUCAGGCUCUGUGAGACCAGGUUUUUGGGCUAUUCAGGUUUCAUUUCUUGGACAUCAGGGCUAUAUCAGAUUCAGACCAUAGAUGGAAUGAACUGGCUGCUAAUCAAUCAGUAAAAACCACUCUCUUCAUCCCAGAAGAGAGGAAAAAUAGAUGGAGCUCAAAUUUUAAAUGUAUCUCAUCAGGUUAUUUUUCAAAAAGGAAAUAAUAUCUUUGGGUUGUUAAAACUUGUAUAUUACAUAUUUAGAUUUAAUAUUGUUUUCAUCUAGAACAUUUUCUUAUGAUAUACUCUUUUUCCUCCUCUAGCUCUUCCUAGUUUUUCUUAACUCCUUCUCCCUUCCCUCUAUAAUUUCACUGUGUUUCUCACAGUCUCUGUCUCUCUGUCUCUUGUCGCUCAGUCUCUAUCUCUGUCUCUAUCACUUUUUCUGAUUCUCUGUGAAACAGGAACAGAAAGAAUGAGAAUAAAAUAUUAAAUGCAACAAA